GAAGAGGCCAGAGGGGUUCAGAGCCAGUUUCACCUGGGCAUCAUGACAGUCUUAUAAAGACAGUGAUCAGUACUCCCAUCUCACAGAGAAGAAAUGGCCGAGACUCAGAGAGGGCUCCACUUCUUCAUCCUAUCAUCGGGGAUUAGGUUUUAACCUAUGAAUCUCGAAGAGGACACAAGCAUUCAAACCAUUGCACCCUUAAUAAAGCAAAUCUGGAUCAGAAGCUGUAUCAUAAGAAAGAACCUGUAUCGACCCCCAGGGUGAAUUUGUGCUCUAGUGAAGAAGGUUUACCGACUGUGCCAUGCCUGAUCAGUUUCAAAUGUUGGCCCCACCAUCUGCUAGCUGAGCAAUCUUGAACAAGGAGAUUUUGCUUCUCUGAAUCUCAGCCUCCUCAUCUGUCAAACGGGAAUGAGAACACUACCACCUCCCCCAAAGGACCGUCUGGAAAACCUAAGAUGCACAUCUACUUGGACGCAGUAUGUAAGUGGUGAAGCAUUUAUAAAUGUGAGGUGUCCAUUUUUUAUAAUGGGGACAGCCAGCACUCGUGCAUGAAUGAGUGACCGAGAAACUUACUGACACUUCCUUGGGGGCUGCUCCAAGCUGCAUGCCUGGAGGCAGACCCCCUGGUGACAGACUUGCUGGGCAUCCGGCUGCUGAGUUGCUGCAUCAUCCUGCCCGCUGCCUCACCCCACCCCACGGAGAGUUACCCUUUCCACCCAGCGUUCAGGAGGAGCCCACUCAGCACUUCGCUGGGCUGUGU